AUCAAGUAAAAAGCAGUUUACCGCUCCUGUGGAACUCACUUCCCUCCCCCGUUAGAUGCUCACCCAGCCUCAACUGUCAUUAGUCUAAUACUAAACUUACCUUUUGUAUCACUUUAUCCCACUCACUCUAGCAUGUAAGCACAUUGAGCAGGGCCUUCAAUCCGUCUGUUCCUGUGUGUCCAACUUGUCUGGUUACAACUACAUGUUUGUUCGUCCACCCACUGUAAAGUGCUGCAGAAUUUGUUGGCGCUAAAUAAAUAACAUA